CGGCGGACGGGUGAGUAAUGUCUGGGAAACUGCCUGAUGGAGGGGGAUAACUACUGGAAACGGUAGCUAAUACCGCAUAACGUCGCAAGACCAAAGAGGGGGACCUUGGGCCUCUUGCCAUCGGAUGUGCCCAGAUGGGAUUAGCUAGUAGGUGGGGUAACGGCUCACCUAGGCGACGAUCCCUAGCUGGUCUGAGAGGAUGACCAGCCACACUGGAACUGAGACACGGUCCAG
rnacentral:rRNA from 1 species